CCUACGGGAGGCAGCAGUGAGGAAUAUUGGUCAAUGGCCGAGAGGCUGAACCAGCCAAGUCGCGUGAGGGAUGACUGCCCUACGGGUUGUAAACUUCUUUUAUAAAGGAAUAAAGUGAGGCACGUGUGCCUUUUUGUAUGUACUUUAUGAAUAAGGAUCGGCUAGCUCCGUGCCAGCAGCCGCGGUAAUACGGAGGAUCCGAGCGUUAUCCGGAUUUAUUGGGUUUAAAGGGAGCGUAGAUGGGUUGUUAAGUCAGUUGUGAAAGUUUGCGGCUCAACCGGAAAAUUGCAAUUGAUACUGGCAGUCUUGAGUACGGGUGAGGUAGGCGGAAUUCGUGGUGUAGCGGUGAAAUGCUUAGAUAUCACGAAGAACUCCGAUUGCGAAGGCAGCUUACUAAACUGCCACUGACAUUGAUGCUCGAAAGUGUGGGUAUCAAACAGGAUUAGAUACCCGGGUAGUC
rnacentral:rRNA from 1 species